rnacentral:piRNA from 1 species
UGUGCACCUCUAUUUUCUAAAUCAGUGAA